rnacentral:lncRNA from 1 species
GAUGCCCAAAACUUUAAAGCUUCAUUUAGACAGAUUUCUGAUUUGAUCAGUCUUGACAAUAAAUUAAAAUUCAUUUAAACUAAAAUAAUUUUUCAGCUUCAGUUUCUUUCUUCUUCUUAUGCCUGUUUAGGUCRUAAAGAAAUCAAAAUUUAGCAGUGACUUUAACUCCUUUUAGACCUCUGAUAAAUCUAAUUAGAUAAACGGAUUAAAAUUUGGCAGAUUUAAAAUCUGUGAAUCUGAGAUCAAGUACUCUCCACUUUGCAGACCAUGGAAUACUUUAUUACGAAAAAUCAGGUACAUCCUUAAGUCUGCUUGUCAGAGUGUAAUGCAAGUUUUAUCGUAUUGCAAAACAAUGGUAUAACUGCUUCAUUUUCACACAGCUUGACUGCACCAGAACACAAAGAUGGAGCAAAACACCAGUAACUGUCAAGGAAAGGAGACUUUGUGCCAACACAGCCCAUACCAUGUCUAUUGCAAAAGGUCAUGUGCUUGCUAUAUAGCCAUGUCGACCAUCUUCUGCUCUACGAUCUUCACCAGCUGCACUUCAGAUCCCUCUACCAGCUGCACCUUCUGUCCAGAGACAGGUGAGCUAUUCUGCUCUGCAGCUGUGGGUCACCCCCAGCAGGGCCCUGUGCUCCAAGGAGCCCUUUCGGAAGCCAGAUCCCUCAGCUGUAGAUUAACUCAGCAUCAUGAUUAACGUGCAGGCUUUCCUCAUCGUGCAAUCUGACACACAGGCACACACCCCCGCCUCAGACCCAGGGGACACAUGGACAGCCCUGCCCUGUGGUAUGAUGCAAUUACAUGACCUAACACAGGAAACUUGCAUAUGGCAUCAGAAGAAAACGUGCCUAACU